rnacentral:misc_RNA from 1 species
GGACAAGAUUCUCAUCUAGUCCACACAACCAUUCAGUUUUGUUUUCUGCUUUCAAGGAUUAUUACCAGGCAUGGCUUGGGCUAAUGGACAGAUCAGAAGGGGAGACGGACGCUUCUCAAAUCGCUUGCAAUUGCGAAGCUCAGCAUAGAUAUUUGACAUGGAGAUCAGAAAAGGAUCCAGGACAUGGAGUUUUGAAAAGACUGAUAGGGGAAGAUCUUGCCAAGGAUGUCAUUACGAAAUUUCUAUUCAAUGGUGUUAAUGAACUUGGGAACAAAACAUUUCUUGAUUACUUUCCAGAGUACAGAUGUGAAGAUGGUAAAGUAAACGAAAAGCGCAGUAUGAUUGGCAAAUCAUUCGAAAAUCGACCAUGGAAUGCAAGAGGAGAAUUCAUAGGCGAUAGAGUUGAGAU